GCCUGAGUGACUCAGUGGUUGAUUAUCUGACUUCAGCUCAGGUCAUGAUCUCAUGGGUUUGUGGGUUCAAGCCCCACGUUGGGCU
rnacentral:tRNA from 1 species